GAAAUAUAAUACUUUAAGCUGCUAACUUAAAUAAUAAUGAUUAAUUUUAUUAAUAUUUCU
rnacentral:tRNA from 1 species